AAAUAUGGCAGCUGCAUUUCGGGUGACAUGAUGUGAACCGCAUAUCGCUAUGUGAUGCAGUAAAGGUACUGUGUAAAAAAUAUGCGACUGCAUAAGCAGGAUACUGAACUGCAUCUUAAAACAUUAGUAUCAUGUGAUAAGGUGAUCACUCAUGAUGACUCGUUGCAUCCCGUAAUUGUCAUAGCUACUUUAGCUCAUAUUUUGUUG
rnacentral:misc_RNA from 1 species